UACGUAGGGGGCAAGCGUUGUCCGGAAUUAUUGGGCGUAAAGAGCGUGUAGGCGGUCCGGUAAGUCCGCUGUGAAAGUCCAGGGCUCAACCCUGGAAUGCCGGUGGAUACUGCCGGGCUAGAGUCCGGAAGAGGAGAGUGGAAUUCCUGGUGUAGCGGUGAAAUGCGCAGAUAUCAGGAAGAACACCAAUGGCGAAGGCAGCUCUCUGGGACGGUACUGACGCUGAGACGCGAAAGCGUGGGGAGCGAACAGG
rnacentral:rRNA from 1 species